rnacentral:tRNA from 1 species
GGAGAGGUGGCCGAGCGGUCGAAGGCGGCGGUUUGCUAAACCGUUAAUGGGAGUAAAUCCCAUUCGUGGGUUCGAAUCCCAUCCUCUCCGCCA